rnacentral:rRNA from 1 species
UUAAGCGACUAAGCGUACACGGUGGAUGCCCUGGCAGUCAGAGGCGAUGAAGGACGUGCUAAUCUGCGAUAAGCGUCGGUAAGGUGAUAUGAACCGUUAUAACCGGCGAUUUCCGAAUGGGAAACCCAGUGUGUUUCGACACACUAUCAUUAACUGAAUCCAUAGGUUAAUGAGGCGAACCGGGGGAACUGAAACAUCUAAGUACCCCGAGGAAAAGAAAUCAACCGAGAUUCCCCCAGUAGCGGCGAGCGAACGGGGAGGAGCCCAGAGCCUGAAUCAGUGUGUGUGUUAGUGGAAGCGUCUGGAAAGGCGCGCGAUACAGGGUGACAGCCCCGUACACAAAAAUGCACAUGCUGUGAGCUCGAUGAGUAGGGCGGGACACGUGGUAUCCUGUCUGAAUAUGGGGGGACCAUCCUCCAAGGCUAAAUACUCCUGACUGACCGAUAGUGAACCAGUACCGUGAGGGAAAGGCGAAAAGAACCCCGGCGAGGGGAGUGAAAAAGAACCUGAAACCGUGUACGUACAAGCAGUGGGAGCACGCUUAGGCGUGUGACUGCGUACCUUUUGUAUAAUGGGUCAGCGACUUAUAUUCUGUAGCAAGGUUAACCGAAUAGGGGAGCCGAAGGGAAACCGAGUCUUAACUGGGCGUUAAGUUGCAGGGUAUAGACCCGAAACCCGGUGAUCUAGCCAUGGGCAGGUUGAAGGUUGGGUAACACUAACUGGAGGACCGAACCGACUAAUGUUGAAAAAUUAGCGGAUGACUUGUGGCUGGGGGUGAAAGGCCAAUCAAACCGGGAGAUAGCUGGUUCUCCCCGAAAGCUAUUUAGGUAGCGCCUCGUGAACUCAUCUCCGGGGGUAGAGCACUGUUUCGGCAAGGGGGUCAUCCCGACUUACCAACCCGAUGCAAACUGCGAAUACCGGAGAAUGUUAUCACGGGAGACACACGGCGGGUGCUAACGUCCGUCGUGAAGAGGGAAACAACCCAGACCGCCAGCUAAGGUCCCAAAGUCAUGGUUAAGUGGGAAACGAUGUGGGAAGGCCCAGACAGCCAGGAUGUUGGCUUAGAAGCAGCCAUCAUUUAAAGAAAGCGUAAUAGCUCACUGGUCGAGUCGGCCUGCGCGGAAGAUGUAACGGGGCUAAACCAUGCACCGAAGCUGCGGCAGCGACACUGUGUGUUGUUGGGUAGGGGAGCGUUCUGUAAGCCUGUGAAGGUGUACUGUGAGGUAUGCUGGAGGUAUCAGAAGUGCGAAUGCUGACAUAAGUAACGAUAAAGCGGGUGAAAAGCCCGCUCGCCGGAAGACCAAGGGUUCCUGUCCAACGUUAAUCGGGGCAGGGUGAGUCGACCCCUAAGGCGAGGCCGAAAGGCGUAGUCGAUGGGAAACAGGUUAAUAUUCCUGUACUUGGUGUUACUGCGAAGGGGGACGGAGAAGGCUAUGUUGGCCGGGCGACGGUUGUCCCGGUUUAAGCGUGUAGGCUGGUUUUCCAGGCAAAUCCGGAAAAUCAAGGCUGAGGCGUGAUGACGAGGCACUACGGUGCUGAAGCAACAAAUGCCCUGCUUCCAGGAAAAGCCUCUAAGCAUCAGGUAACAUCAAAUCGUACCCCAAACCGACACAGGUGGUCAGGUAGAGAAUACCAAGGCGCUUGAGAGAACUCGGGUGAAGGAACUAGGCAAAAUGGUGCCGUAACUUCGGGAGAAGGCACGCUGAUAUGUAGGUGAAGUCCCUUGCGGAUGGAGCUGAAAUCAGUCGAAGAUACCAGCUGGCUGCAACUGUUUAUUAAAAACACAGCACUGUGCAAACACGAAAGUGGACGUAUACGGUGUGACGCCUGCCCGGUGCCGGAAGGUUAAUUGAUGGGGUCAGCGCAAGCGAAGCUCUUGAUCGAAGCCCCGGUAAACGGCGGCCGUAACUAUAACGGUCCUAAGGUAGCGAAAUUCCUUGUCGGGUAAGUUCCGACCUGCACGAAUGGCGUAAUGAUGGCCAGGCUGUCUCCACCCGAGACUCAGUGAAAUUGAACUCGCUGUGAAGAUGCAGUGUACCCGCGGCAAGACGGAAAGACCCCGUGAACCUUUACUAUAGCUUGACACUGAACAUUGAGCCUUGAUGUGUAGGAUAGGUGGGAGGCUUUGAAGUGUGGACGCCAGUCUGCAUGGAGCCGACCUUGAAAUACCACCCUUUAAUGUUUGAUGUUCUAACGUGGACCCGUGAUCCGGGUUGCGGACAGUGUCUGGUGGGUAGUUUGACUGGGGCGGUCUCCUCCUAAAGAGUAACGGAGGAGCACGAAGGUUGGCUAAUCCUGGUCGGACAUCAGGAGGUUAGUGCAAUGGCAUAAGCCAGCUUGACUGCGAGCGUGACGGCGCGAGCAGGUGCGAAAGCAGGUCAUAGUGAUCCGGUGGUUCUGAAUGGAAGGGCCAUCGCUCAACGGAUAAAAGGUACUCCGGGGAUAACAGGCUGAUACCGCCCAAGAGUUCAUAUCGACGGCGGUGUUUGGCACCUCGAUGUCGGCUCAUCACAUCCUGGGGCUGAAGUAGGUCCCAAGGGUAUGGCUGUUCGCCAUUUAAAGUGGUACGCGAGCUGGGUUUAGAACGUCGUGAGACAGUUCGGUCCCUAUCUGCCGUGGGCGCUGGAGAACUGAGGGGGCUGCUCCUAGUACGAGAGGACCGGAGUGGACGCAUCACUGGUGUUCGGGUUGUCAUGCCAAUGGCACUGCCCGGUAGCUAAAUGCGGAAGAGAUAAGUGCUGAAAGCAUCUAAGCACGAAACUUGCCCCGAGAUGAGUUCUCCCUGACCCUUUAAGGGUCCUGAAGGAACGUUGAAGACGACGACGUUGAUAGGCCGGGUGUGUAAGCGCAGCGAUGCGUUGAGCUAACCGGUACUAAUGAACCGUGAGGCUUAACCU